rnacentral:piRNA from 1 species
UUGUCAAGUACUUUACUGGUCAAGGUGUAU